rnacentral:rRNA from 1 species
CUCGUAGGCGGUUUCGUAAGUCGGGUGUGAAAACUCUGGGCUCAACCCAGAGACGCCACCCGAUACUGCGAUGACUUGAGUACGGUAGGGGAGCGGGGAAUUCCUGGUGUAGCGGUGAAAUGCGCAGAUAUCAGGAGGAACACCAGUGGCGAAGGCGCCGCUCUGGGCCGUAACUGACGCUGAGGAGCGAAAGCGUGGGUAGCAAACA